rnacentral:lncRNA from 1 species
GCUGGCACUGCCGAAGCACCUACGCCACGUCAGGCACUUGACACAGCCCCCAUUUCAUUUAAUUAUCUCCACAAACCUGCACAGCAGGAACUCUCACUCCCAUUUCACGGAGGAGAUGAGGACACAGGCUCAGGAGAAGCCCGGAGCACAGCACGCCCUGCCGGAGGUCUUUCAGCGGCCCCAGCCCGGGACCUCCAGCCACACGGGCCUCCGAGCCUCGCCGGCCGCUCUCCCCUGAGAGUUGACAAGUGGGUCUUCCCUGACAUCUCUCUUCCUCCCCGCUUGCGCUUCUCGUACCUCCCUGGCUUCAGCCGAGCUGCCCCCUCCGCCUGGAAUACCCUUCCCACACUAUUCUGGCAGAAAGAACUGCUACGCAUCCUUUACUUGGUUCAGACUUCUGGCCUCCUGGAAAUCCUUCCCACCCCCACCCAUAGGUCACCAGCCUCUGCUGAGCUGAUUUAGGAUCAUAGGAUCUUAACAAAGUGUCGUUAUCUGAGUGAUCCUGUUUCAGGCCUGCCGCAGUCCCUUUUCACCUUGGACAGUCAUUUUUGACUUUAGGUCUGGUCCCCAACGUCUCCACCUGCUAUGGCUCCCCGUGGUCUGAGGCUCAUGACCCCACAACCCUACUUGAGUAGUUUGACUCUGCAGGAGAAAGCUGGAGGGGUAGGGUGAGGGGAGCCACAGCUGGGGCAAGUGUACACCUGGAGUGAGUUGGGGCUGAGCACUGCCCCUGGGUGCCCCCAUCACCCAGAAGGGCCUCUCCUGCUCAGCCUGACAGCUCUGGUUUAUCCACCACUGAAAGAACCAGCAAGCCCCUACAGGCCCUCCCGACAGCGCCUCCAGAAACAAACCUGGCCCAGCCAUGUGGUUACCCUGAUCUGAUCUGCCAUGAGAAAGGUCACAAACAGGGACUGGAUCUCAGCACAGAGGGCUGCCAGCAACAGUUCCCGAGCCCCCUCCCCCCAUGUUCCAGCAGGACAGCUGUCACAAAGUCCAGCUUUCUGCUGGGGAGGAGACAAGCAAGUCCCCAUGUGGCCAGCUAGACCCGCCUGUGAGCCUGUGAUUGUUCUGCCACAGGGAUGACCUGCAUUUGCACUGGCUUUGGAACCAAACAGACCUGACUUUGAGUCCCAGAUUUUGCCACUUAGUAGAACGUGGAUGGGAAGAUAUAAACAGCAUCUCCCUCACUACGUUUUUCUAAGGAUUACAUAACUGUUCAACAAAUGUCAGUGACUAUAGUUACUUCACAGACGGAUAGCUCAAAGCCCAGAAUAAGGAGUAAGAAAACUGGGCAGAGCUGGAUUGAGACUCCUGGGAUCUCCUCUCCGUUCACUCAUCCCUACUCCUUUGUUAAACUGCCCUCUCCACUUUCCUAAAAUUUAAGGGCAAAGCAAGUUGUCCCAGGCACCUCUUAAUGCUUGUCAGAAAUCCCCCCUACUUCAGAUGAAGCAAAUUUCUUCCAGUCAGCAUCCUUAACUCUAUACCACCACCUUGUGGUCACCAGCACAAACUUUCCCUGGCCACUUCCAGAGGACCAAGGUUGGGAGAGGAAGAACCAUGAGUAGCUGCCAUCCCAGUCCUUGCUAAGUGCCUUCAUGUGCCUUACUCCAUUUAAUCCUUAUUACAGGUGGUGAAACUGCUACUCAAAGACAUGGAAUAAUUUGCCAGCCUCUCAGGUGGCGCCAGGAUUUCUACCUCAGACCUCAGAGAUCCUGCUUCCUACUGCACUCUCCUGAUAGCUUCCUGGGAAGCUGGCUGGCACGGCACUUCAGAUUCAGGGACUGCCUGAUACUGUGAAGUCACAAACCCAGUUAACUGCAGAGCCAGAGCCUUUUUUUCUUUUUUUCGAGACAGUCUCUCUGUCGCCCAGGCUGGAGUGCAGUGGUGCCAUCUCGUCUCACUGCAACCUCUGCCUCCCAGGUUCAAGCAAUUCUUGUGCCUCAGCCUCCUGAGUAGCUGGGAUUACAGGCGCCCACCACCUGUUCGGCUAGUUUUUGUAAUUUCAGUAGAGACGGGGUUUCACCAUGUUGGUCAGGCUGGUCUUGAACUCCUGACCUCGGGUGAUCCACCUGCCUUGGCCUCCUGAAGUGUUGGGUUUACAGGCGUGAGCCAUGGUGCCCAGCAGAACCAGAGCUUUUCUUGACUCCCUUGUUUGGUUCUGGGCUCUUAGCUAAGCCCCAGGUAAGCCUGCCAGUUUCAGGGAAGGACUCCUGGAGAUGGCUGUAUCUGAAACAGAAUUCACCAGACAGGGUUUUAGACUUGAUUUACAGAGAACCCUUUAGGUGGUGAAUUGUUUUCACCUGUUAUUUCUAGUGCCUGCUAUUCAGCCACAUCCUCAGCAACUUGCAGCACCCAAACUGCCACAAAACAAGCAAGUAACUGUGCCCUGCUUCCCUAGCUCUAAUCGGAUGCUCCCACACCACUUGGCUGUUCAGUUCCUAGGUCCCCUGAGACCCAGUCCCAUCAGGGCUGGACUUGGCAGGCAGGAAUCCCCUGGCAUUCACUCAAGCUGGCAACAAAGGAGAAGCUGGCAUGAAACUUAAAUUCCACCUUGGCUCUCAGCCCUAAAUCCACCGUGCCUGUCUGGGAGUGUCAUGGCAUGCGUCUUGGAGCCAGAGAACAAAAGAUGGCAAGUGCUGCAGGCCCAGACAGGCAAGGACCACAGCCCAUAUAUCCUGCACCACUGUGCUGCCUUCCAACAAUUUUGUCUUCAAGAACAGCACCUAGACACGCAUUAGGAGGGAAAAUUACACUUCCACCAGCACAGGCAUGUUCGCCCCUUCCCAGCUGGUAAUUGAGUUUCGUCGUCAGAGCUAUCACCUAGAUCAGGUAAGAAAAUGGGUGAAAAGUACGCCAAGUGCCAUUACUGGUCAAUUUUACUUAAAACAGUUUUCUCAAACCUGGAGAAAGCAAACCAUGCACCACCUUGGCUCCUCAACUAGGCUUCCUAAACUACCAAAGAGGCUCUUUAAGCACCUCAACCUUGGGGGAAAACAAAGAAAACAAAUCCUCUUCUGCUCUGAACCUGGCCUAGGAGCCCUGCUCCUCUGGACCAGCCCCUGACCUGCUUUUGGGUGGGCUACUACUCUCCUACCCAGUGUAAGGUAUGUAAGAUGAAGGAGCGUGGGAGAGAGAGAGGGCCCAGGCCUAGUUUCUGCUAUUCCAUCUGGACCAUUCUAUUAUAGGACUCAAAGACAGAUACAGAGAGAACUUUGGAAUAAGGCCUGGGAUAAAAUUUUGGUGUUAUCACUAAAGAGCUGCUACUUAACCUUCUUUUGUUCUGUUUCAUCACCUGUAAAAUUGGGUACACCAUCUACCUCCAUGGGAUGCUGGGUUAUGGGAUAAUAUACUUAACAUACCUUAAAAAAAAAAAAAAGCAAGAUUCCCUUUGGCAUGCAUAUAGAAUGGGGGAGAAUACAAAUUAGUUUGGCCCCAGCAACCUGAACCUUCUUCUUCUAGCAUAACUCUGGGAUCAUGACCUCAGAAAAACUUUGCAUAUACCUUUCCAUAGACAAAUGUAGUAAACACAACUCAAACCCAAGGCUGAAAUGCUAUUGGCCGUGACUAAUCUGAGGUAUGCCUUGGAGAACUGUCUCCACAGUUCAGGCCUUUCUAGACCAGUCCUAAAAAAUCUCAAGCACACAAAGUAUAUUCUUAAAUAUGGUUUAAUACUCUUCUCCAUUUCUGUACAUCACAACACCAAGAUUUUGCUGCUUAGUAUCUCUC